UACGUAACCGACACAGGUGGAUGAGGAGAGAAUCCUAAGGCCGACGGAAGAAGCAUUGUUAAGGAAUUCGGCAAAAUGACCCCGUAACUUCGGGAGAAGGGGUGCCUGCGAGAGCAGGCCGCAGAGAAUAGGCUCAAGCAACUGUUUAGCAAAAACACAGGUCUAUGCGAAACCGAAAGGUGAAGUAUAUGGGCUGACGCCUGCCCGGUGCUGGAAGGUUAAGAGGAGAGGUUAGCGUAAGCGAAGCUUUGAAUUUAAGCCCCAGUAAACGGCGGCCGUAACUAUAACGGUCCUAAGGUAGCGAAAUUCCUUGUCGGGUAAGUUCCGACCCGCACGAAAGGCGUAAUGAUUUGAGCACUGUCUCGACAAUGCAUCCGGUGAAAUUGAAGUACCAGUGAAGAUGCUGGUUACCCGCGCCAGGACGGAAAGACCCCAUGGAGCUUUACUCCAGUUUGAUACUGGGAUUCGGUACUGCAUGUACAGGAUAGGUGGGAGACGAAGAAGGAUGGACGCCAGUCUGUCCGGAGUCGCUGUUGGGAUACCACCCCUGUAGUACUGGGUUUCUAACCAGUUGCCAUGAUCUGGUAAUGGGACAAUGUCAGGCGGGGAGUUUGACUGGGGCGGUCGCCUCCGAAAGGGUAUCGGAGGCGCUCAAAGGUUCCCUCAGAAUGGUUGGAAACCAUUUGAAGAGUGCAAAGGCAGAAGGGAGCUUGACUGCGACACCGACGGGUGGAGCAGGUACGAAAGUAGGACUUAGUGAUCCGGUGGUAUAAAGUGGGAUUGCCAUCGCUCAACGGAUAAAAGCUACCCUGGGGAUAACAGGCUUAUCACUCCCAAGAGUUCACAUCGACGGAGUGGUUUGGCACCUCGAUGUCGGCUCAUCGCAUCCUGGGGCUGUAGCASGUCCCAAGGGUUGGGCUGUUCGCCCAUUAAAGCGGUACGCGAGCUGGGUUCAGAACGUCGUGAGACAGUUCGGUCCCUAUCCGGCGCGGGCGGAGGAUAUUUGAGAGGAGCUGUCCUUAGUACGAGAGGACCGGGAUGGACGGACCACUGGUGUAUCUGUUGUCGACCAACGGCAUGGCAGAGUAGCCAAGUCUGGAAGGGAUAAACGCUGAAGGCAUCUAAGCGUGAAGCCCCCCUCAAGAUGAGAUAUCCCUCCUUCGGGAGUAAGACCCCUUGAAGACUACAAGGUAGAUAGGGCAGAGGUGGAAGCAUGGCAACAUGUGGAGCUGACUGUUACUAAUAGGUCGAGGGCUUAAUCUG
rnacentral:rRNA from 1 species